GGUAGACCCCCCAGAGUCGGGCAUAGCCAGCCGAAAGGUUGGGUAAUUCCCGAUAGUCCCGAAAGGGUAAAGGUUUUUCGCUCUGGGAGUUGCCUGCGUAGUAUCAGCUAGUUGGUAGGGUAAUGGCCUACCAAGGCUACGACGCUUAGGGGAGCUGAGAGGCUGACCCCCACCGAUGGAACUGCGACACGGUCCAUACUCCUACGGGAGGCUGCAGACGAGAAUAUUCCGUAAUGGGCGAAAAGCCUGACGGAGCGACGCCGCGUGAUUGAUGAAGUGCUUCGGUACGUAAAGAUCUUUUAUCGGGGACGAAGUUUAUUGACGGUACCCGAUGAAUAAGGGGCUCCUAACUCUGUG
rnacentral:rRNA from 1 species